ACGCUAAGCCUAAGCAUCUCUCUCAGUCCAGCUCCUUGCUUCUAUUCUUUCUUCCCCGAUAUACCGACCCAAAUCCUCUACUCCGAUUUACUCUUCUCCUUGAAACCCUAAUUCACCGGUUGUUCUUAGUCUCCCGCGAGAAAUUAGGGUUCGAAUUGGGGCUUGCUCUUCACUUCUCCAAAUCUGCCUCCAACUCCAUCUACCUAAUCGAUAAUCUAAGCUCUGCUUUGCAUUACCCAAAUCAAUUCAAGGCUUCUCGAUCCGAAAUGGCUUCUCCUCCCUACAACUGACCCGCCAAUUCACCAAACGGACCCAACUCAGUUGCUCCCACAAUGAGAACCAACCCGCUCUCUCCAAGGAUGAACAAGGCCCGCCUCAGGAGGUCGUUCUCAAAGUUAUUUCAGGUUUCGUUUUCAGGGAAGCUUUGACCUUUUUGAAAGUCGAAGGCAUUGACAGAGCUCAAGAUCUAGCCAAGGUGGGUUUGCUUUAGCCAAUAAGGAGACCUUGAUUGCUGGAGGCCCAUUUGUUCUUCCUCUUGCGCACAAGCAUAAUGUGAAAAUUCUUUCUGCUGAUUAAGAACAUUUUUUGCAAUUUUUCAGUUAUGAAAACAAAUCCAUAUUGAUACCCAACUCUAUCUAAUAGGUUCUACUGUGAUCUUGAUAUAGCUAUCAAAUUUGCUGCAUUCUUGUUGGUGAUACUCAAAGCACUGUUAAAUUACUUGAUACACCUUAAUUUAGUCAUUGCCUCAUCAUUUCUUUAUUUCUGCAUCCUAUAUCCUCUCCUGUGAAUACUAAUGAAGCUAAUGAAUUCUUAUUUCUUUAGUGUAUCCAAGGCUUGCCAGAGGGUGCACUUCAGCAUAUUAUUUUGACAGCUUCUGGUGGGGCUUUCAGGGGCUAGAAGUCAUUGAAAUUCUAUGAUAUGCAUUACUCAUGGUGUGCUACUGGUGUACUGUUAACAUUUAGUCUCAGUGGCAAAGACAUGACAUGAUGUAUUAGAUGUGUUCAAUUGAAGAAGCUGAUGAAUUCUCGUGCAGUCAUGACAUACACUUCUGUCUGUGCAAACUGCUGGUGGUGAGGUAUUUUUUGGAACAAAAUGAUAUUAAAGGUGCUAUCAAUACGUGCAAUCAAAAAGCUGCCAGAUCAUUCGGCCAAUUGUGAGUGAGACAUUCAAGGUUAUGUUGAAGAUAAUGUUGUUUAGAGCAUUGCAAAUUUCUGUCAUGAUCUACAGGUCCUAGACCAGAUCCUGGACCUAGCAAAAGCUUCAAGGUCAUUGGAAGUAUAUAGAGCAUUAUAUUUGUGCAAAUGCUAGCUCUUUUGGAUACAUGAAUGUAUAUAUAGAUGAUUGACAAAGGAUUAAAUACUGUUUA